CCCUCGCCCCCGGACCCGGAGACACUCACUUGAUGGCCCACCCCUUCCAUUUCACCAGUCUUGUUCUUUGUAACUUCAAAAGAAGCAAAAAGCAGCUGUGCGUCAUCUCCAUCAAGCCAUGACCAUCUUCACGCAUCUUCUUCCCGCCUCUGUUCUGUGUCCAUAUAAACACGUAUAUAUAUAUAUGUAACGUCUUUGUUUUUAAUAAAAUGGGGCCGUAUGAUUCA